rnacentral:rRNA from 1 species
GAUAAUAAUUUAAAGUCUGACCUGCCCAUUAAAAUAAAUGAAGGGCCGCAGUAUUUUGACUGUGCAAAGGUAGCAUAAUCAUUAGUCUUUUAAUUAAGGACUAGUAUGAAUGGUUUAACGAAAUAUUAACUGUCUCAUAAUAAUAAUAUAGAAUUUAACUUUUAAGUUAAAAGGCUUAAAUGUAAUUAGAGGACGAGAAGACCCUAUAGAGCUUUAUAUUUGUAUUUUUAAAUUUUAUUUAGAUGUUUAUAAUUUUUAAAUAUAAAAAUAUUUUAUUGGGGUGAUAAGAAGAUAAAAAUAACUCUUUAUAAGAAUAAACAUUAAUUUAUGAGUAAUUGAUCCAUUAUUAGUGAUUAUAAGAUUAAGUUACCUUAGGGAUAACAGCGUAAUGUUUUUUAAGAGUUCUUAUCAACAAAAAAGAUUGCGACCUCGAUGUUGGAUAAAGGUAAUAAUUGGGUGUAGAAGUUCAAAUUUUAGGUCUGUUCGACCUUUAAAUCCUUACAUGAUCUGAGUU